GAUAGCCUCUGAAGAUUUGGGCUGCUGCAUUUCAGGUUGGAGAAACAGGGUGUUGCUGAUUGUCCAGCAGUAUCAACCAUCUUUUGUGUGUUCAUGACACCAGAGACCCGUCUUUUCUCAUUCAAAGUGGACGUGACAAGAUUGACUGAUCCUUUCAUCCUUCAUUCCCUCUACAGUGCAGGCAUUAAUUUCAGCAUCUUCCUGAUGACCAAAUAAAUGUAAAUGAAAACGAGCCAUCAGUGUCAUUCUACUAUAAGAAGAUUACUAUAAGAAGAACAUUCAGUCUGGGCCUGGAAGCUGUGUAAACAAUUCGUACUAGGAACAGUCUUUUUCUUGUAUUUAUUCUGAAGAAGUACUAUGUAUCCAAGUUGUCUGUUGUACUAUGAUGAGCUGAACUAAAAAAAAAAAAAACAAACAAAAACACAUCAGGCUUCAGCUUGACCUGAUGUGAAAGUUCAUUUUGGUCAUUUAUAACCUCCUACCAUAUUUAAGAUGGAAUUCUCUGUAUUUGAAACUUAUCUUGUAUCUCCCUGAGGCUAAUUAAACAAUAUCUCAUCAAAUAAACAAACAAACAAACAAAUAUAAAAAUGGCAAGGCAAGUCUUCCUUUGUAACUGAUAUUGUCAUUAAUUUUAAGUAAAUGGGAGAGGUUGUCAGAACUUGCAAAAAGUAUUCUUUACCUUUAGGUUGCCUCAGCUUUUAGUACCACUGAUGUACUUUAUUCUGGACAGAUUAUUAAGAAUCUGUUCUGAAACUCUGCCUGAAGAGACGGAAAGGAAUGGUUUGGACACAUUUGUUUGGAUAUACAUUUGUUUAACAUUUGGCCUAUAUUCUGCUUAGCAACAGUUCUUCACAUAAACUAUCAAGGUUUUGGGGGGAGAACCUAGGUAACUCAGCAUAACUCUAUUAGUAUCAGUGGUGCCAUAACAGCUUAAAUCAGCUGGGGUUCCUGAGAAAUGAUUUUGCUUAAUUGGUUCUGUUCCCUAGAAAAUGGAUGGAAUAAUCAAUGACUAUGUUAACAUGGCUUAAUAUUAACAACUCUUCAGGAGACAAAUGUCCCCAGAGCUGACACUGGCUUUGUUCAAAGAGGAUGGAAUUUUGUAGACUCUGGACUGUGGCUGACUGUGACUUUCAAUCAGAGUCAAUCUCCAGUCUUCUCAUUCAUUUAUCAUCUAGAAAUAAGGGGAAAUAUGUCUGUGUUCAAUGUCAGCUAAAUAUACUUUUUUAAUUAUUAUUAUUAUUAUUCUAUCUGUCUAUCUACCUAUAUAUUUAUACAAAACUGUCUUUUACCUUUUCUUUAAAGCAUUGAUUCUUCUCCCCAUGGUUAAAAGCAGCAGCUCAGUAUCCACCAGUAAUCCUAAAUAAAGAAAUUAAAAUAAAUAAAAUAAAUAAAGUAAAUAGAUAAAUGAAAAUAAAAAAGACAGUGACAAAAUUUAUUUCACUCACCUUAUUCCACAGAUCCUGUAGCCAG